ACAGGACCCCACUAGAGAGACAACUGGAUAAUCAGCUGAACAUGAGCUCCGAGCGCAACGCUGUGGGCAGAACGGCUUAUGCGAUUGUUGGAUAUAUAAACAGGCAAAUCUUGAACAUUCAAUGGGCGUGUGCAGCAUUCAGUGCAAUCCACACCGGGAGUAUCUUCUGGCUACAGGAAGCUAUGACGAACAUGUUCUCCUAUGGGACACCAGGAAUAUGAAGCAGCCAUUGGCAGACACCCAUGUUGAGGGUGGAGUUUGGAGGCUGAAGUGGCACCCAACACGUGAGCACUUGCUGUUGGCUGCUUGCAUGCAUAAUGGAUUCAAAAUCCUUGACUACCAAGGAAGUAUGG